rnacentral:rRNA from 1 species
GACGGAAGGUGCAAGCGUUGCUCGGAAUCACUGGGCGUAAAGGGUGCGUAGGCGGCUGUGUAAGUCUGGCGUGAAAGCCCAGGGCUCAGCCCUGGAAGUGCGCUAGAAACUGCGCGGCUGGAGUGCCGGAGGGGAGAGUGGAAUUCCUGGUGUAGCGGUGAAAUGCGCAGAUAUCAGGAGGAACACCGAUGGCGAAGGCGGCAUCCUGGACCAAUAUUGACGCUGAGGAGCGAAAGCCAGGGGAGCAAACGGG